UACGGAAGGGGCGAGCGUUGUUCGGAAUCAUUGGGCGUAAAGGGCGCGUAGGUGGUUCUGUAUGUCUACCGUGAAAGCGUACGGCUCAACCGUAUUUUGUCGGUAGAAACUGCAGGACUUGAGGCUGGGAGGGGCUGGUGGAAUUCCCUGUGUAGCGGUGAAAUGCGUAGAGAUGGGGGAAAACACUCGUGGCGAAGGCGGCCAGCUAGACCAGUUCUGACACUGAGGCGCGACAGCGUGGGGAGCAAACAGG
rnacentral:rRNA from 1 species